CCAACAUUACCAGGGACAGACUCAGUCUAUUCUCUAGUGAAGCCGUACACUGACCCCGGUAAUACUAAAUCAGCGAUCUAUUAAACGGCAGCUGGACUGUUGAUGUGACCUAUUCUGAGGUGGACCUCAAAAACAAGGCCAAAGCCAAGAAGAAGAAAGAAAGAGCAACCCCACCAGAGGCGGAUUCAGUCUAUUCUCGAUUGAAGCCACGCUCAUGCCCCGGUCCUUGAGGGAGAUGGAGGGACACAUAAUCAGAGGAGGAGCAGGAGAAACCUGGGAAUAUGGAUUAUUCACACAUGUUUGCACACACACACGCAAGCACACCCACACACCCAUGCAAGCGCACUCACAGAUACACACACACACACACAUAAAGGAUUUAUAUAUAUAUAUAUGAUUUAAUAUUGGUUUAAUUGUGAAUUACUGUAACAGCUUUUUAAACAAUGAUAUGGUGUAAUGAUGAUGGAUCUUAUCUUCAGCUACAGUAAUUGUAUCUGUAUUGUGCAUUGACUUGUUUGGUUGUAAAUGUACUGAAAUGUAUUAUCAUUGGUUUGUUACUUCUGUCACUCGGCCAAAAGUAUGUGGACACACAUUCAAAUUAGUGGAGUUGGCUAUUACAGCCACACCCCUUGCUGACGGGUGUGUAUAAAAUCAGUCAUGCAAUCCCCAUAGACAAACGCUGGCAGUAGAAUGGCCGGUACUGCUGAACUCAGUCACUUUUAACAUAGAACGGUUAUAGGAUGCCAGCUUUCCAACAACUCAGUUCAUCAAUCUUCUGCCCUGCUAGAGCUGCCCUGUCAGCACAAGAACUGUUCGUCGGGAACUUCAUGAAAUGGGUUUCCAUGGACGAGCAGCCGUACACAAGCCUAAUAUCACAAUGCGCAAUGCCAAGCAUCAGCUGCAGUGGUGUAAAGCUCGCCCCCAACGCUACAGGAUACAGUGACAAUCUAGACGAAUCUGUGCUUCCAACUUGUGGCAAUAGUUUGAGGAAGGCCCUUUCCUGUUUCAGCAUGACACUGCCCCUGUGCACAAAGCGAGGUCCAUACAGAAAUGGUUUGUCGAGAUUGGUGUGGAGGAACUUAACUGGCCUGCGCAGAGCCCUGACCUCAACCUCAUGGAACACCUUUGGGAUGAAUUGGAACGCUGACGGCGAGCCCGGCCUAAUAACCCAACAUCAGUGCCCAACCUCACUAAUGCUCUUGUUGCUGAAUGGAAGCAAUUUGCAGCAGCAAUUUACCAACACCUAGUGGAAAGAUUUCCCAUAAAAGUGGAGGCUGUUAUUGUAUCAAAAGGGGACCAAUUCCAUAUUAAUGCCCAUGAUUUUGGAAUGAGAUGUUUGACGAGAAGGUGUCCUCAUACUUUUGUCCAUUUAGUGAAUAUACUGAACAAGAAUAUAAAACACAACAUGUAAAGUUUUGGUCCCACGUUUCAUGAGCUGAAAUGUUCCAAACACACAAAAAGCUUAUUUCUCAAAAAUGUUUUGGAAAAAUGUGUUUACAUCCCUGUUAGUGAACAUUUCUCUUUUGCCAAUAUAAUUCAUACACCUGACAGGUGUGGUAUAUUAAACAGCAUGAUCAUUACACAGGUGGCUCUUGAGCUGGGGAGAGUAUAAUACCACUCUAAACUGUGCUAUUUUGUCACACAACACAAUGCCACAGAUGUCUCAAGUUUUGAGGGAGCGUGCAAUUGGAAUGCUGACUGCAGGCAUGUCCACCUGAGCUGUUGCUAGAGAAUUUAAUGUUUAUUUUUCCACCAUAAGCCACCUCCAACGUGGUUUUAGAGAAUGUGGCAGUACUUCUAACCAUCUUCACAACCGCAGACUACGUGUAACCACGCCAGCCCAGGACUUCCACAUCUGGCUUCUUUACAUGCAGGAUGGUCUGAGAUGAGCCACCCGUACACCUGAGGAAACUCUGGGUUUGUACCCAAAAAUUAUUUCUGCACAAACUAUCAGAAGAUGUCUCAGGGAAACCUAUCUGCGUACUCGUUGUCCUCACCAGGGUCUUGACCUGACUGCAAUUUGGUGUUGUAACCAACUUCAGUUGGCAAAUGCACACAUUCGUUGGCCACUGGCAUGCUGGAGAAGUUUGCUCAUCUCGGAUUAAUCCCGGUUUCAACUGUACUGGGUAUGGUGUCCUGUGGGCGAUCGGUUUGCUUUUGUCAACGCUGUGAACAGAGUGCCCCAUGGUGGCGGUGGGGUUAUGUUAUGGGAGGGCAUAAGCUAUGGACAACUAACACAAUUGCAUUUUUUCGAUGGCAAUUUGAGAUCCUGAUGCCCAUUGUUGUGCCACUAAUCCGCCGCCAUCAACUCAUGUUUCAGCAUGAUAAUGCACGGCCCCAUGCCGCAAGGAUCUGUACAUAUUUACAGGAAGGUGAAAAUGUCCCAGUUCUUCCAUGGCCUGCAUACUCACCAGACAUGUCAGCCAUUGAGCUGGUUUGGGAUGAUCUGGAUCGACGUGUACGAAAGCGUGUUCCAGUUACCGCCAAUAUCCCACACAAGAUACUGACUGGUUUUCUCAUCCAUGCCCCUACUUUUUUUCAAGGUAUCUAUCUGUGACCAACAGAUGCAUAUGAGGAAGGCAGUCAUGUGAACUCCAUAGAUUAGGGCCUAAUGAAUUUAUUUCAUUUGACUAAUUUCCUUAUAUGAACUGUAACUCAGUAAAAUCUUUUAAAUUGUUGCAUGCUGAGAUUAUAUUUUUGUUCAGUGUAUUUGUAUGUACAUUUGACAGAUUAUUAGAAUUAUAUAUAUUUUUUUUAAAGACUCUACUUUUUCAAUAUAUUUGCUUUUGUAAUUAACUUUUUUUUUAAUCAUCCCCAAGAGGGCAUGAAUGUACAAGUAAACGGUUAUAGACAACUCAUCCAUACAAAGUGCGUUGGCCAGCCCUCCUUUCAGCCUAAAAUAGUUUUUGGGCUACCCAAUCUGUGAGUUCAGGGGACAAUCUGUGAUUGGUACAUACAUGUUGGGAAUCUUGAAGAAUAUAACUUGUAAAUGCCUCAU